rnacentral:rRNA from 1 species
UAUUGGUCAAUAGCCUAACGGCUGAACCAGCAACUUGGAGGAAUGUAUAGGGAAAACUGGUAAAAUGUGAUGUACCUUGUAAUAUUAGAAAUUAAAUAUGAUAUUAACUAAGUUAAUUAAAAUUCUAAGUAGGUAUAUGAUUAUGACAAUAUCUGCUGAGGUCUUGACCAAGUCACGUGCCAGCAGUCGCGGUAAUACGUGGAAGACUAGUGUUAUUCAUCUUUAUUGGGUUUAAAGGGUACCUAGACAGUUAAUUAAGCAAUAGUAUGUACUAAUUAGCUAGAGUUUAAUGUAAGAAGGAUUGAGUACGGUGAGAGUAGAGAUAAAAUUCUUUGAUACCACUUAGGUACUGGUAAAGGCGAAGCACUUAAGUUGAUUAGUCAGUGCUCCCCCUAG